rnacentral:rRNA from 1 species
GACGCUGGCGGCGUGCCUAACACAUGCAAGUCGAACGGGGUAAGAGGAGCUUGCUUCUCUUACUUAGUGGCGAACGGGUGAGUAACGCGUGAGGAACCUGCCUUUCAGUGGGGGACAACAGUUGGAAACGACUGCUAAUACCGCAUAACAUAUUCGAGCGGCAUCGCUUGAAUAUCAAAGCUUUAUGUGCUGAAAGAUGGCCUCGCGUCUGAUUAGCUAGUUGGUGGGGUAACGGCCCACCAAGGCGACGAUCAGUAGCCGGUCUGAGAGGAUGAACGGCCACAUUGGGACUGAGAUACGGCCCAGACUCCUACGGGAGGCAGCAGUGGGGAAUAUUGGGCAAUGGGGGAAACCCUGACCCAGCAACGCCGCGUGAAGGAAGAAGGCCUUCGGGUUGUAAACUUCUUUUACCAGGGACGAAGGACGUGACGGUACCUGGAGAAAAAGCAACGGCUAACUACGUG